GGCUCGAUGGUUUAGUGGUAGAAUACUUGCUUUGGGUUUCAAACCUGCAAGUGCCCCCGGUUCGAUUCCGGGUCGAGCCC
rfam:Phialocephala scopiformis strain CBS 120377 unplaced genomic scaffold LY89scaffold_24, whole genome shotgun sequence.